rnacentral:lncRNA from 1 species
GCGAUAUCCUCCGGCCUAACAGUCGACUCCCCAAACUCAAAGGUAAUCGCCGCCAUUGAGUCAAACUCCUUCGCACUGAUAAGAUCCCCAACGGAAGCUUCGACGUCCGACAGCGUCUCCUCCAGGUCUUGGGCUGCGGCCACCUCAAGCAUCCAAUCUUCAAACCUCCGCAGCCAACCUCCAGACCUCACGCUAAGGAAAUUACGCAAAGGACUAGAAAAAUCUGACCUCAAAGGACGGGGCGAAGGAAAAUGAGCCACCUUAGAUACUCCGCAAACACUUAGGAACUAAACACAACAACAACGCAUGCGAGCAGCUCAGAGCAGGAGAGAUGUGGCGAAGGAAAAUAUGCAGGCAAUGAACGGCAGGGGUGAGAGACCAGAGCAACCCAGCAUCCCCUUUUGUAUGGGGGGCCUGCGGCCUCACGACCGUUGCGAUUCCCUGCGCCCAACGGCUAUGAGCGGAGGACUCGGCCUGACCGUUGCGAUUCCCCAAAACCAACGGCUAACUCCAAUGGCUAGACGCAAAAUUUCAACGAUAACUUGAUAUCCUCCGCAAUCUAAUGCGCGAAGGAUAGCAAGCUCUCAGAACAACAAGAAUCAUAGGAUCCUGAAAAAAAAACAAACCAAAAAAAAUUAUGACUAAGUACAAGUAACAUUUUUCCGACACCGCUAACAAACACAUCCUGCGCACCAGGGGGAAGGCAGCAACCAUGCUCGCAGCCUACGCAGAGUGACACAUUUUUGAGCACAUGGACCGCAGGAGUGCCAUUAGCCCAAAAAGGAGAGAACUGUUGGGGGCUGGACGCAUCCUUCCCCUUGGUAGCGUCGAAGGAUAUCCUUCACCCGAGGAACCUUCGUGUGAAUACGUGCAAAGGAUCCUGAGAAAGACUAACGGUGAUGACUCGUCUUUUCGUGCUAAGUGUAUGCGGAGACUGAGACACCC